rnacentral:rRNA from 1 species
CCUACGGGGGGCAGCAGUCGAGAAUCAUUCACAAUGGGGGAAACCCUGAUGGUGCGACGCCGCGUGGGGGAAUGAAGGUCUUCGGAUUGUAAACCCCUGUCAUGUGGGAGCAAAUUAAAAAGUUAGUACCACAAGAGGAAGAGACGGCUAACUCUGUGCCAGCAGCCGCGGUAAUACAGAGGUCGCAAGCGUUGUUCGGAAUCACUGGGCGUAAAGAGUGCGUAGGCGGUUUCGUAAGUCGUAUGUGAAAGGCUAGGGCUUAACCCGAGAACGGCACAUGAUACUGCGAGACUAGAGUAAUGGAGGGGGAACUGGAAUUCUCGGUGUAGCAGUGAAAUGCGUAGAUAUCGAGAGGAACACUCGUGGCGAAGGCGGGUUCCUAGACAUUAACUGACGCUGAGGCACGAAGGCCAGGGGAGCGAAAGGGAUUAGAUACCCCUGUAGUC